rnacentral:rRNA from 1 species
UACGUAGGGGGCAAGCGUUGUCCGGAUUUAUUGGGCGUAAAGAGCUCGUAGGCGGCUUGGCAAGUCGGGUGUGAAAACUCCAGGCUCAACCUGGAGAUGCCACUCGAGACUGCUAUGGCUAGAGUCCGGUAGGGGACCACGGAAUUCCUGGUGUAGCGGUGAAAUGCGCAGAUAUCAGGAGGAACACCGGUGGCGAAGGCGGCGGUCUGGGCCGGCACUGACGCUGAGGAGCGAAAGCGUGGGGAGCAAACAGG